UUUAAGUUAAUUUUUCCCACCUGAAUUGGUCAAAAAAGGUUUCACCCAGCCACUAAUCCAGUUCCUCCCUGACUCACUCAUUCACUUUCUUUCAGUCCCCUUUCACACUCCCACAUCUUCUUUUUCCAUCUUCAGUCUGACAUUACCUCUUCAAUGAAGUGUCGACCUCUGACCUUUUAGAGAUGGACCUCUUUCCACUGACUGACAUUUCCUUCCUCACUCUUCCUUACUGGCAGAGACAUGCCAUGUGAAGUAGGUUGCCAUAUUAGGAUCGAGAGAGUUAACAUCCGUGCGUCCAUCUUUGUUUUCCAGCACGUCAAACUUCAUACCUCCUGUGUGACAUCUGAAAGAGGACGAGUGCAGAUACAGUUUCAGUCUCAGCUCUACAGUUGUGUGUAGGACUGAAAGUGUCUGGAAAUGAAAGUCAGACCAGGGACUUGAGCACCAAGAAGCUAAUUGGUGUUGAGAAACAACAUACAAGACGGAACUGUUAUCUGGUAUCUGUUUAAGGAAAUGAAUUGCACCAAAUUAUUGUCAGAUGACUGCCGGAAAGUUCUGGGAUUGUUUUACGGCAAUUUGCAUGGCCACAUGGAUUGUGUUCCAGCAUAUAGCAAAUGCCAGCUAAAACAGUGGUGGACGGUGAAUUAGACUGCUAAAGGUAAGUCAGAACACUUCUCAUACCAAAAUCUGGUCCUAUACCAACAAAUUUAAAAAUGUUAUGCAGAAUCUGUAGGUAGGGAUUACACAGUAGCAAACCAUCUGGUGAACCAACUCUCAGCCAAGAGUAUUCUGGAAAUAUUAUUCAACUUGAUUAAAACUUGAUCCUGUAGAGUCCCGUCUAGACAAACUGUUGCAUGAAUUUAUCCUCCUCUGUUUAAGGGCGUAAGAGACACUGCUUUGGUCCCUUUUUUUAAAAAUAGGAAAUGAGGGUUCGAACUUGGACUAAAACUUGGUUUUGGCAGGGUGUCUUCUCAGCUGUGUGGAGCUGGGCUGAGGUCAAGUCUUAACGACUGACCCACCAGUCCAAACUGAUCCUGACUGACCUGUGGGCGGAUUGAACAUGCAGCCAACAGCAACAGAACACAGGGCUACUGGCCUCCUUUUGACGACCAAGAAGUCCAUGAGGUGGGCGAAGCAAGUCAGAUAAAAGUAAGAAAGCUGCUCCCUUGUCGGCCCUUCACGGUUUAUUUCUCUCUGAAAGGUAAUAUUUUCACAUUGACUGUAUUAGCCCCCUAGCAUCCAAAGAGCCAAGUCAUAAUAUGUUUUGUGCAUAUGUAAGCUAUAAAGGGCUUGGAUUGUUGUGGCAAGUGUAACUCUGGCAUAAAACCCCCGGCCUUAUUUGAGUUGGAGAGGAGGGAUUUAGAUCUGAUGUGUUUCUUUUUGCUUCUCUGCACCUUCAGCCAACUGCUCCAUUAUCCCCCAUCAAUUUUCACCAGCUGCUUUUAUCCCUCACAAAGCCCAAAUACCACAGAGAAAAUGGGACAGGGCCGAUUUCAAACGACAGCUUUAGUUUUAUGUUUAAUGUAAUGAGAAAUGACUUUUUAAAUGCAGCUCUGUAUUUGUUGCCCUACUGUAAGAACUCCGUUAAUGAAUUAAAUGUGCAGUUGUUGGCACGGGAAAUUCAUUUUUCUUCUUUGUCUGAUUAAAAAUAGAAGUGAUUUA